rnacentral:rRNA from 1 species
UACGUAGGGUGCGAGCGUUGUCCGGAAUUAUUGGGCGUAAAGAGCUUGUAGGCGGUUUGUCGCGUCUGCUGUGAAAAUCCGGGGCUCAACCCCGGACUUGCAGUGGGUACGGGCAGACUAGAGUGUGGUAGGGGAGACUGGAAUUCCUGGUGUAGCGGUGGAAUGCGCGGAUAUCAGGAGGAACACCGAUGGCGAAGGCAGGUCUCUGGGCCACUACUGACGCUGAGAAGCGAAAGCAUGGGGAGCGAACAGG